GAUGAACGCUAGCGGCAGGCUUAAUACAUGCAAGUCGAACGGGAUUCGGGGUAGCAAUACUUUGAUGAGAGUGGCGCACGGGUGCGUAACGCGUAUGCAACCUACCUUUAACAGGUGAAUAGCCCCGAGAAAUCGGGAUUAAUACACCGUAACAUUGCGCUGUGGCAUCACAGUGCAAUUAAAGAUUUAUCGGUUAAAGAUGGGCAUGCGUGACAUUAGCUAGUUGGUGAGGUAACGGCUCACCAAGGCAACGAUGUCUAGGGGUCCUGAGAGGGUUAUCCCCCACACUGGUACUGAGACACGGACCAGACUCCUACGGGAGGCAGCAGUAAGGAAUAUUGGUCAAUGGGCGCAAGCUUGAACCAGCCAUGCCGCGUGCAGGAAGACGGCCCUAUGGGUUGUAAACUGCUUUGUCAGGGAUAAACCUGUCUACGUGUAGACAGCUGAAGGUACCUGAAGAAUAAGCAUCGGCUAACUCCGUGCCAGCAGCCGCG
rnacentral:rRNA from 1 species